GAUGAACGCUGGCGGCGUGCCUAAUACAUGCAAGUCGAGCGAACAGACGAGGAGAUUGCUCCUCUGACGUUAGCGGCGGACGGGUGAGUAACACGUGGAUAACCUACCUAUAAGACUGGGAUAACUUCGGGAAACCGGAGCUAAUACCGGAUAAUUUAUUGAACCGCAUGGUUCAAUAGUUAAAGACGGUUUUGCUGUCACUUAUAGUUGGCUCCGCGCCGCAUUAGCUAGUUGGUAAGGUAACGGCUUACCAAGGCAACGAUGCGUAGCCGACCUGAGAGGGUGAUCGGCCACACGGGAACUGAGACACGGUCCAGACUCCUACGGGAGGCAGCAGUAGGGAAUCUUCCGCAAUGGGCGAAAGCCUGACGGAGCAACGCCGCGUGAGUGAUGAAGGUCUUCGGAUCGUAAAACUCUGUUAUUAGGGAAGAACAAAUGUGUAAGUAACUAUGCACGUCUUGACGGUACCUAAUCAGAAAGCCACGGCUAACUACGUG
rnacentral:rRNA from 1 species